UGCCGGGCCGGCGGGACCUUGGCCGGGGGAGCCCCCCGGUACCGGGCGGAGGGCCCGGCCCGGCCCUGCCCGGGCGCAGAGCGGGGUGAGCCCGGGCCGGGCGGGCAGCAGGUGAGGAGCAUCCCCGAGGGGAGCACUGCGGGGCCUGGGGCCGCGGAGCGCGGCUGGAAGGGCCGUCACGGGCACCGUUCCCUGUGCCGGGGGCCGCGCGGUCCCGCCGCGCUCCCGCGCUGUUCCCGGUCCCGGCGGUGGGUCGGGAGCUGGGACUGGGACACUGCGGCCCUGCCGGCUGUGCCCGCGGGGACACGGGCAGGGCUGGGCUGGGCUGGGCUGGCGGCUCCCCGGGGAGCCGAGGGCAGCAGCCCCGUUGAUGGGUGUGCUCAGGGCUGUCUGUGUCCGUGCAGCUUCUACCCAGAGCUCUCCUUGGCCUCUCAGCGUGGCUCUUCCCCUUGCCAUGGGCAGCUUCACCCGCUGGCACCCCAGGGCUGGGGCUGGCACAGCCCUGGCACGCAGGGGUGUGCUCAUGGUGACUUUAUUCUGGCACAGCCCAACCAGUCUUAGAUGGAAGCCCUGGAACAGCUGCCCAUGGAGGGCAUGGAGACAUCUCCAGACUCCUCUCUGGAGUCAUUCCAAACCCACCUUGACCCCUUCCUGUGGCACCUGCUCCAGGUGACCCUGCCUUGGCAGCAGGUUGGACUGGAUGGUCUCCAGAGGGCCCUCCCAACCCUAAUAAUUCUGUGACUUGUUUCUUGUAGGACUAAAAACUCAACCUGAUGAUCAAGGUUGUGAUAAUCCUCGUUUACAGAUCUGCCUUUCCCACCUUGCCAGUGCUCUCUUUAUCUGUACUGCUCUGCACUUCAGUUUUGUGACUCAAGUGCAAGUCUUAACUGGCAGGGAAAAACUGCUGCCAUUAAAAAUGCACACAGGAACCCUGUGGGAUGAUGCUCAGUGGUAACAGUGGGGCAAACUGAAUCCAUGGCAGGAUUUUUGAGAAAAUCCAUGUGUCCCUUCAAAAGCAAUAACUUAAAUAAUAUUUAAGAAACGGGGCAUCUUUUUCCUUUUCUUCAAGCAUCCCCAGCUGCCAGGGGCCUCACCAAAACAUAUAUUUGCUGGUGUGGCUUCUCUUGUCAAAUUUGACCUGUUCUGUUCACAGCAACACCCAGGUGUUAAAUAGUUUAAACUUAACCAAGGAGGUAUUUGCAGUGGUAGUUCAAACUUGCUGCAGUCAACAUGCAAUAAUAGGUUAAUUAGGAGGAUUUUUUUCCCUAUAAUAGUUAGCUUCGUGAAGAAUUUUUAUAGAUUUAUUUUAUAAAGUUGCUGGUUGUAAUUUUUUUCACUGAGUUCUUCUCCCAGGUCUUAAAUGCCACCUCAUUUCAUACAGGUCAUGCUGGGAAGUUUUUUUACACACUAAGACUGGAGACUUGGCCAAAGGAAGCUUAGAUAAAACAUCAGAUCACUUGCUGUGUUUUUCUCCUCCAGUGACCUGUAUCCUUGUUUCACUUUCCUUUUGAUGAAUGUCUUCUGUAUUUUCCUCUGUUAGUAGUAGUGGGAACCAUCAGUUCAUUUGCAAAAUAGUGAAAGGCCCCCAGGACUUAUAAAGGGCAAUAGAUGUUUAAUUAUGUUGCCAAUUAAUAACAUAACACAGCAGUCUUGAAAUAUUUUUGUGCACUAACUUCAUUGUUCUCUGAGUUUGGGUAAUUACUGUAAUAACAUGUAAACUUUAUGCAGAAAAAGCUUUCUUAGCAUGUCCUAAGAGACACAAAUCUAGGGAAUAAAUACACAUUUGUGUAUUAUAUAUAAAUACACGUUUCUCUGUCUGGAGCAGGACCAGAUAACCAAAGUGAUGGUUUCCUUUGAGAAGGGCACUGAGGCCUUUGUAAUGUUUGAAGCUGAAGUGUACCUAAAUUUAUUUCUUUAUUUACAAAUAGCUCUGUUUAUUCUGUCCCUGAACUAACAGAGGUGUACUCAAAAAAAGGGUUUGUGAAAAUCUGACCAUUUCAGUGUAGUAAAAUCAAAGGUGUGUAGGGAAAGAUGCCAAGAUUUGUGUUACUUUGGUUCUCUGUUCAUAUUAGAAAUCAUUCAUUGUGCUCACAUACUUUACUUUUAUACAGGAGGUGGGCAGUAGUGACUUGUCAUUUCUUUCAGGCCAUGGUUUCUGGAUAUUUAUAUUCCACCUGUAACUACAUGGUUAGAAAAAUAAGUGAAAAUCAAACAUACUAAUUAAAAAUGGGGCAAAACAGUAAUAUUUCCUGUGAUAAUUACUUAAAGCCAGAACACUCUGUGUUAAAGCAAUUAAAUGUAAGUGGGACAUGGAAAUACAAUUUUUUUUUUUCUAAAAUCUAAUUGAGACACUGCAUAAAUACAUUAUUGGUGGCAAUCAGUGCUAUUAAUCUCGCUGUUAUGGGACAAAAUUCCCCAACCCACCAUUGUGGACACAUGUCCCUGUCUGGGUGUGUGGACUUUGGUGCUGCCCAAGAGCUGUGUGCACUGAAACCACUUGUCCUCCUUUUCCCCCCUGCACAAUUUCCCAGUUCAAACCAGUAUUCUGGGGUGAUUUACAGUGUCUUGCUCCUCAGUGGACUGGCAGGUCCAAAAAGAGCUAUUAAAGUUUUAAUUUUCGGGGCAUAAGCAGGAGUGCCUGGACAUGGGCUGGGAGUUCUUCUUUCUUGGCCUGUUUUCAGUGCAGGUGAAUUUGCUCAGCACAAAGUAAAAAAAAACCAUAAAAACAAACCAACUAAUAAAACCCAAACCCUCUAAUCUGUUUCAUUUCCCACAGGUUUCUAACUUAAAACUUUGACUUUUCUGCUCAGUUUUUAUCUGCUGAACUUCUGAAACUCAAUUUAAGCUUUACUAGAGUAAAAUAGUCUUUUCAUGUAACAAACUGCUCACAAAUUUACAAUUACCAAGUGAUCCUUUCCCAGGAGGAUGUAUGUCUGUCUCCACCUGCAUCUUGUAGGUGUCACUGAAGCCCAGUUUGUGUAGGAACUCUUCCUUCUAAAAAUUCACUUUCAGCUUUAGGUGGUUUUUCUUCUGUGCUGCAAAGUGGACAAAAUAACUGGGAGAAUAAAGCAUUUGUCUUGCAGGAUCACACUGAGGGGAGAUGAUCACUCUGAGAGGAGACAUGACUUCUGUUCUUUGUGCAAAUACACCUUUUGUUCCCUCAGCAGAGUAAUGAAUAAACUAAUAAUGCAUUUGAGUUAUUUUUUUCCUCUUUCACAGGUUGGACAAUAGCUUAGGAGUGCUGAUGUUCCACUGUGUGCUAUUAAACAAAACCAUGCAAAUUCUUGAGACUUUUUCUUCUUGUGCAGUUUAGGAUCAUUUAGGAGGUUUUAAACUUCCAGGUAGCUCAAGAAAACCAGGACAGACUUACUUCAGAACCUGUUCAGAGUCUGCUGCUUCACUUCUGGACACACCUUGGGAGCAAGGCUCUGGAAAGAUAAGCACGUUAUUAAGGCAGAGGAAGGUACAACCCAAAACUGAAUAUAGAAGAGGAAAAAUGUUUGGUUCAUGCUAAAACUGUAGUGUCAGUCACUGUCUGAUUUCUCUGAGCCUGUUUAGGGGAGAGGUGAUGAGAUGUGUCUGUACCACGUGGUAACACUGCAAGGGUAGCUGAGUGGAGUGAGGGGAAGCAAUGUCAGGGAUUAUUAAGUUUAUAUCAGUCAUGUGACUCCCUCUCUGCCUGCAGUCCACAGCAGUCAAACACAAAACCCAAGGAAUGAGCAAAUUUGAGUUAUGAGUCUGCAUGAAGUCAUUUGGAUGCUUGGCACGGCUGGAGAAGGUGGCAGGAAGUUCCUGGGAUUCGGGAAGUGUGGCUUCAAUGCAGGGAGUGCUCUGAAAUCCUGGGGUAAAACUGUGAGGACUUGGUGUCAGUGCUGUUCCCAUAAAUCCUGGAGCUCCAUCAUGUGGUGGGAGCUGUGCAGGCUCAGCCCUGGGGGGGUGUUUGGCAGCUGGGGCUGUGUGAGGCUGUGCAGCUUCACAAUUCCAGAGCCAUUUUAUCCCCUUUCAUUGCAUUGGGAUUUUAAACACGUGGUGACAGGAGACACAGCACUAAGGAACUCAGCUUUUAACAAGGAAGGCAAAUUAGCCAGGUAUUUUUUUAGAAGCUUACCUCUCAUCAUAGCUGAGUGAUUUUGCUGGAGGAGUGACCCUGAACUGCUGUGCUGCACUGGCUGUGACAGCAGCAGCACAGGGAGCUUUGCAACCCCAGGAUGAGAACAUCCCACAUCAGGAGAGGCUGUGCCAGCAGGAGCAUUUAUCAGGAUUCCCUGCUUCUGCCUGUGCCAGAAACCCUUGGUGCUUGCACACAGCAGGCCCCCAAGGAGACCUGGCAGGUCUCAUCUGUAAAAGGAUGUGGCAGCUCAGGUGGUGCAGCUUGGAAAGAGUAUUACAAAUAAUCCACAAGUUAAAAACUCCCAAAGCUGCAGGGUUAAUAUAAAGUAGAAUGCUAAUUAGCUGGACUUUGCAGGAAUGCACAGUAAAGAGAAGUAAAAGCAGAAGGUAACCUGAACUCCUUCCAAAAAUAAGAAUUUUGACUAGAAUUUGAAUUCCUUUAAUUAUACACCCCUCAUAUUAUUGCUCAGCUUCCAAUUGCUGUCAUGUUAGUCUGCCUUGGGCUUGUGCCCUGCAUGCACUUUAUGAUCCCAAGGCAGACUAACAGGAUAGCAAUUGGAAGUUGAGUAAUAGUAAUUUUUCAAGGACAUUUUUAACCUUAAGUAACAGCCCAUUCAGACCUUUAUUAGAUGAAAAGCUCUUGUUUCAGAAAGGUGGAAGGAGGCAGAUUCCUGUGGAUUGAGGUGCUGCAGGUACUGAACAGGAAAAUCUAGUGGUGGCAGUAGAAAACGAUUUAGAAUUUCCAAGAAUAAAAUUUGAUAGGGAAGUCCUGCUGUUGGUGGAAGUAAAAACUGUUUGAUACAUCUCAGGUUGGUUAGAUCUGCAAUUAAAUUUUGUUUAAAGGUGAUGAAAUGCAGCAGAUCAAUUUUUAGGUUUAUUACAAUCCUUGUGUCCUUCAGGCUUCAUUUUAAAAAGAAAUCCUGAAGCAGUGCCUUACAUACUGGGUGAAAUUAAAACAGGUGUGGCAACACCUAUUGCAUUUUCCAAAAUGCUUCAAACAUUUUCAGUAAAUCACAGAACCACGAGCUUCAUCUUAAAGUUCCUUCUGAAACUACAGGUGGGACUUCACCUCGUGGAAUCCCCAAGUGACAAAGGGAAGAUGCUGAGUUGGUGCUCUGCAGCUCAGCUCCCUGGCCAGGCCUCAUGGCAGGGACUGGGGCUUUCCAGGGGUUUUGCUCAGCUGGUGAAGGUUUGGAUGCAGGGACGGGGAAGUGAAAGCACUGUCACCUUCCCUGCUGAUUCAGAAGGAUGUGAUGGGGACCAGUGCUCCAUAAGGGUUUGACUCUGGCCCAGAGCUGCUGUACUUCAUUCCUGGUUUGGGCACCAGGACCAAGUGUCCAUGCUGAAGGAUAUUUUCUGGUAGAUGUAAGUUAACAAAAGCAAAUAACGGGAUUUAUACCAGCUAAAGCAAGAUUUUAAGAGAGAAUGAAUUUUGUCAUCAAUACUUGUAUAAAGGAUUCUGGAGUGAAGCAUGGAGGGGGUUGAAAAGUGAUUUGAUUUUCUCUCAGCUCGAGGAAUAACGUCAUCCCUUUGGAUAUUAAUGCCCAUGAUCACGUGCUGGGUGUUCUGGCAAGGACAGGAACGUGCACGAGGGUGCUCCUCCUCUGUCAAGGCUUUGUUUGAAGAGCAGUCUGAAAACAUCAGUGUGUAUUGGGAUGAAGUACUAGUAAAACAUAUGUUUAUAAAAACCGCUUUUCUCCAAACAUUUUCAAUUAUCUUAUGAAUUACCUGGACAAAACAGUUUUCCCUCCCAGCCCUGUUUUCAAGCUGUCCCUGCUGAGGAGGGGGUUGUAAGUCACACAUCUGUCUGGCAAGUAUUUUCAUUUCAGUGUUCUAAAAGUUUUUAAUUCAAGAUGAUGUUGAGCUGUUUUAAUGUAGAAAUUGGCUUUAAGGUUACAUCAGGAGCAGUUAGAGAAACCCACUUCUUUCUGAUGGGGAAAACAACAUGUAUUUUAAGUGGCCUUUUGGUAAGGCAGUUUAACAAUUAAACAUCAGGAGAAAGGCCAUAAUCUUAAUGAAUUUUUGUCUCUAAUAAUCCCUGUGCACAUGACUUGAUGUAAUUUAAGACUAACAGAAAAAGCACAAGAUAGUACUCUUAACAGUACUUUUUCUUGAGCUAUUAACUGUUAGGAUGGGUGAAAACAUCAUUCUAUGUAACAUAAUUUAAUCAAAAUUAUAAAUAUUAGGGCCUCCUCGUGAUCCAUGUAAAUCAACAUAGCUGUGGUCCUAUAUUUUGUUAUAUUUAAGUUCUGAAGAGGAAGGAAUGUGUGUCUGCCUGCAGUGAUUCUGACAGACUUUUCUUCUGAUUUCAGGUGAGAAUUUACAUCUGUGGAACACAACCAGUAAUUUAACAGGUUUAAUGACUGUAGUUGCUAUGACUGCUACAACUUGCCAGCUGGCUAAAGAUGAAAUGUAUUUCAACACAAGCAAUUGGUGAGUGGCACAGUGCUGGCUGGAGAUGGAAAAUACCCCUGUUCCUACACAGAGAGUGGAACACUCCAUAGAGGGGAAAUGAUUCCAAACCAGUUGGGGUUUGAAUGUAAAAUACAGGCAGCUCAAACUUGUACAUUAUGACUUUAACUGUUCUGACACCCCAAUUUCUAUAAUGCAUUAAAAUUCGUGACUCCCAACUGCUUGGUAAAAGUUGGAGGGAAAACUUAUAAGUCUACUUGUUUUUCUCCAACUCAAUUUAAUACAAAAUCGAAGUGUUGGCCAAUUUUGGCCAAAACUGACCUCUCACCUUUUUGGGGGAGUGUAAACCUAUGGAGUUUGAGCAUCCAAGAGCCAGAACUUUUCUCCAAGGUGGUUGUUGUCUUAUAAAAAGACUUUUCAAGCUUACUGCAUUCUUUUCCUCCUGCAGUCCUACAUGUACCCAGUCUCUGCUGCUGCACUGGUGUGCCCAGUGAGCCCCUUGCUAUAGCAACAAAAAACCCAUGGAAAUGCUCUUUGGGAUGGCAAGUUUAGGUUAGUCAGAGUGAAAAUGGAGCCGUUCAUGAGUGGUAAAACCGGUCAACCACUGCUUGGUAAGUGCUGACAGUGUAAACUUGAAAUAUGUGCCCAGGCCCAAGAGGCAGAAGACCCAAAGCAGCUGGUGAGCUAAAGCACUUCACAGAGCAGCUGCUGAGUGAGAAGAACUGCAAAAAGGAAGCAUUGGGCUCCUAGGAAGAGGUAGUAGGUUGCAUAGUUUUAGGGCAGGGAUUUUGCUCACAAGGAGGUAACUAUACAACCUGCUGCCUUUCUUAGGGCUUUAUUAUAACACCGGGACCAGUUUGGCUCCAGCCUACAAACCUCUGCAGCUCUGGCACGUGGAGACAAAGGACAAGGUGUUUCCAAGCAUGGUGAGGCUUAAUGAGACCUGUGUGUUGGCAACUGUGGUCCCAAACUGAAGUGUAGGACUGAUAGCUGGAAUGCAGCAUGGUGGAAUACUGCAUUUUGGGGACAUUGGGCUGGGAUAUCCUUGGGUUGUGGUAAGUAAGAGGCUGUGUUGGGAAGCCAACUCCUUCCAGAGGAAGCUGGAGUCCCCCUGUGAUUAGGAUGGAGGUGGUAUGGACUUGUGAACGUUGAGAUGCUGCUCCUGUGUGCUCACAAGGGAGCUGAACCACCCCUUCCUUUGGCUUGGUGCAUUUCAGGUGGAAAAGCCUCCGGUUUUCCUUCCCCAAAAGAACGAGAUCCCAGCUCACUUGAAAGCUGGUGCUUUCUCAGCAGGCAUAGGCACUCCUAGGAAAACAAGUUCUCAGUGGUGGAUUAUUUGCAGUCUUGCAGAAGGGAAGUUUUCAGUUAAAAAUGAUGGUUUGUCUCUCAUGGAAUUAUUAACAAUGAGUCCAUAUUUUUUUGCACUACAGGAAUAGUUCAGGGAACUGUGGGAUACAGAGACUUUAACUGCUGAGCACCUUGUAGCAGGAAUAUGUUGUACCUCCACCAGCCACUAUUUCAACUUUGGCAAAUCAGAAUCCUAGAUUAUAAACAUGUUACCAUGCUUGUAUUGAACAUCCUGUAUGAAUUUAACUGUACAUGUUUGAUUUAGUUAAUAAAAUACAGCAUUUUGUGCAA